GGCUGCAUCGCCUAGCUGGUUAUGGCACUUCCCUGUCACGGAAGAAUAACACGGGUUCAAGUCCCGUUGCGGUCG
rnacentral:tRNA from 1 species